AAAAUGGCUAUCGGCUUCUGCGAAGAGUACCUUAGCUUUCUCUUUGUGAAUCAUCACGUUCAGCGAUAACCUAACAUCCUUCUUCACAUCGUCAGACAUUCUGCNACGUAAUAUUAUUUAUAAUAUAAUACUAAUAUUAUAACUAUGCUAUUAUAUAUGUAACUAUUAUAAGUUAAAUGUAUAAUCUAUUGUAAACAAUAAUUUUAGGUUAUAUAUUAUAACUAUACUAUAAUAUCAAAAUAAACAAUUUUAUUUUAUUGUAUGACUUAUACUAUAUACUAUAUUUUAUUUAUUUUUGUAUCAUUUGAUGAUAUUUACAAAUUCAUGUACAAUUGUAUAUAUUCACAUAAUAUAGAUUAUAUACAUCAUUUUAUAAAAUUUAUAAAUAUUUUUAAAAUAUAGACAUAAAAAUAAAUAUUAGUAUAUAUUUUAAAACUAUAGAUUUUGAUACGAUAUAUACCGCGAUUUUCGGUAUAUCAAUAUAUACAGACAACUGCGGUAUAUCAGAAUAAGGUAUUGUACCUUAUUACCGGUAUAUACCGAAUAUUAAGGUAUACCAGAAUAAGGUAUGAUAUCCCAUCACCGUUAUAUGCAGUAAUAUUCGUUAUACCAGUAAUACGGUAUCAUACCGUAUUCCGGUAUAUACCUUUAAUACGGUAUUUAUUAAUUUUUUCGGUAUAUACCGCGGUAUCGGUAUACACCGGUAUACCCCGGUAUUUGGAAAAUCCAUACCUUUACCUUACCGUAAAUCUUCGGUACGGUAUCAUACCUUACCAAAAAAAUCGGUAUACCUUAAAUUCGGUAUUUUGCGGUAUUUUACGGUACGGUAUGGCCGGUAUACCGAGUUUUCGGUAUAUUUUUCCAACCCUACUCAGCCUUAUCCAUGUCUGCAAUGCCAACAAUGGUGAUGAUUCCUGAUAUUCCCAUCUCAUUCGGAAAGAUCUGCAGAUCGUCGGAGAUUAUGAAAGAAUCUUUAUGUAUAGCAAAUACUCCAUCACUGGAAGCAGCUUCAGAACUCUUCGGAACUAUUUUUUUCUUCAUCAAACAACCAUAUUUGAAGAAAUGCGAAAGUUCAUCAUAGUAAAUGCUCACACUACGAAAUUCAUUAUGAUUACUCUUGGUGCAGUAGAAGUAUUCUGCAGGCGGAGAAUCACUGAUAUCGAGUUUCAGCCCUUCGAUUUCAUCAUCAAAAGAGCUGAUUGGAUUGAGCAGAAUCUGCUUAGCACCAUCCGUCACAAAAUGGGAGCUAUCGAGAUUUGCUAAGCUACGGUACAAACUGCUUAAGCUUCCAAUGGCGGGAGCUUCAUCACCGUAGUGCUUCUCGAGAAUUUUGAAAAUUCUUCCCAAGGGGAAAGUCAAGAAGCUUAACAAAAUGUCAGCAAAAUGGUUAUCGGCUUCUGCAAAGAGUACCCUACUUCUCUCUUUAUUGAUCAUCACAUUCAACGAGAACGAGAACGUAAACUCCUCCUUAUCGUCAGACAUUCUGCUACAAAAAGAAGUGAGCAAGGGAUGAAAUUUUAGACAAAUAAAAUCAAGAUUUUCAUCCCUUUUAUGAGCAGAAAGUCCUACUAACAUCAAGAUUUUUCCUCCCUUUUUAUGAGAGAGAGAGUCCCACUAAAUUCAAAGAUCCACCGGUUCACUUCCUAUUAUAUUUUGUGAAUUUAUUAAAAUUAAAAUUAAAGGUCGCAUUAAAGGUGAGAAUAAAAAGUACAUGUUUUUCCCAUUUCAAAUUUGUUAAGUUCAGAUUACUACUAUUACUAUAUUUCAAAUGUUAGCGUUUCUGGUUUAUUAAUUUGCUGCUCGUAAAAAGGGGAGAAUGCAGAAGGCCGUCUUGGAAAUUAGAGAGACUAAUAACUCUUCGUUAACUUAAUUAUUCUCCAUUAAAAAGGGAGUGAAUGUAAAUCUUUUAAAUGUCUUCUUCAUCUCUAAUUUCUUCUCGUGCCACUGAUACUAGCAAAAUGUCUCGUGCUGGUAAGGAUAUUAAGUUUUCAAUGAAAGUUAUGGUGAACAAAAAGAAAGGGAAGGUUCUAUUCGCAGAAGUUGACGGCAGCUUUGCAGAUGUGUUGCUAAGCUUUCUCACAUUGCCACUCGGAACGAUCGUGAGAAUCUUGAAGAAGCACUACGGAGACGAUGCACCCGCCUUUGGAAGCUUGAGCACUCUCUACAACGGUUUGUCAAAUCUUGAUAGUAACCAUUUUUGGACAGAAGGUGCUAAGUCGAUUCUGCUGCAUCCACGAAGUUCAUCCGAUGCUCAAUGUAAAAGGCUAGCGCUCGAUAUUAGUGAUUCCCCAUCAUUUCAAUAUUUUAUUUGUCCGAAGGGAUGCUAUAAAGUUAAACUCCGUGGCGUAAGCAUGUAUUACAAUUUUGCUGGUAAAUGCAAGUUCUGCCAAAGUUAUCUUAUAAAAGUAGUAGAUAAUAAUGAUGCUCAAAUAGUUGCUUGCGAGGAUGGAGUUUUUACGAAGACGACAGUGUCGUUUCUGAUCACUGAUGAUCUGCAUAUAAUGCGUAAUGCGGGGCUCUGCAAAUCGUAGCGUGCUGGCUUACAGACAUGGAGAGGCUGAGAAUUACAUCACCUUUGGAUUCCAAUGUGAGUCUUGUUCCUAGCUAUUGAUUUUUUAGCUAUUUUUUGGUUAAUAUUGUUAUAGUUUUUGUUUUGAUUAUCAUGCUAUUAGGUUAUGGAUUUGCUCAAGGCGACCCUGACAUCCCCGACUCCAUUGUCUGAUCUAAUAUUCAAGAAAACAACAAAAAUGGGCUCUGCAAAAAGGAUUUAUGAAGACAAUAUAAAUUCAUCGAUUUCAAACUCCAAAACGAUGAAUGUAAAACUUAUGGUACAAAACUCCACAAACAAGUUGCUGUAUGCUGAAGCUGAGGAAGACUUUGUAGAAUUUCUAUUCAGUCUCCUCGUAAUCCCACUAGGAGGAGUCGAGUCCCUUUUGUCGCGUAACUCUAAUGUUAAGGCUAUAGACAGCUUGUACAGGAGCGCAGAUGAUCUUAUCCAUGACAAGUAUUUCAAGAAUCGUGGUGCAAAAUUUAGGCUAAUCGAGCCCAAUAUACCUCAUGGUUAUGUCUCCGAAAACCACAUUCUUCCCCUCAAUGAAGAAAGAUUGCCUACAAAUGUUGCCUACGCUGAUUACAGUUUGUUUCCUUCUACAAAGUUUCCCAAAGGCCAAGGGAGUUAUCUUGAAGGACCUCAAACUUAUAAGGUUGCAGAUGAUUUAACCGUGACACCUUUUUGCAUUGUCUCCAUUCUUUCCGGUCUCAAAAUGCAGAAAGUCCCAGUGUCUGAUCUCAAAGAAGUGGAGGUGCAAAUCGGAUUGAAAGAGGUAAUAUAAUGUGUGUAAGAUCAUGUUUUUUGUAUAAUUUUUUUUUUAUGUUUAGAGUGAUUUUGAUAAUUUGGUGCAGGCUUUGAGCAUACUGAAAGCAUCUCUUACAUCCACCACUGCUCUCUCUGACGCGCUGCUCAGUCAAAUAGUGAAGGAACCAUCAAAGAGAGAAUUUUGAUUACCUUUAUCCUUGAUUGGAAUUACUGUUUUCCAUGUUCUAAUAUGUGACAAUGUUGGCUUAUAUUAAUAGCCUUUGCAAAUUGUUUAUUAUCCUGAUUUUAUGGAAGCUAGUAGUUCAUGAUGUUAUAUUCUAUACAAAUUUAAAUCUAGCAAAUUAAGAAAUCAGUAACUUAUAAUGAAUUCUUUGUGGAGAUGAGGUUAUUCGAUUCAAACCACUUGAAAUUGUUGUAAAAAUUCCCCAUUUCUUUCGAAAUGCAAACACAAGAACUAAAUAUGUAAGCAUGGAGUAAUUUCUCUUUAGCUUCUUUCCCAUAAAAAAAGGUGUGAAUCUGCAAUUUCUUGCUUUUGCCACUGAUAUUAAGAACCUGCAGUUUCUAUUGUAGAAUUUGCUCGUAGAUUUAUUCUUAGCCAUAUGAAUUUGAAGCUGUUGAUUAAACUCAUGCAAAGUCGCGUUUUCAAUAUAAGGGUGAUCGCGUUUGUCAAAGGCGGAAGGACUAUUGUGCAAAUAACUUUUUCGGAGGGAUUUAGUUAUGCAAAUAGUCGUUUAUAUCGUGACCGUUGGAUUGAUCUUGACGGCCCAGAUUAAGGGAGUUCAGUGCAGUUAGUUAUAACUGAUUACACUGUUCAUUGUCUUCUUCAUAGCGUGAUUUCCCAGCUGGCUCUUCAGAGAUUGAGAGAAUUAUUGUGUGAGAGUUAUUCUGCCGAUUCAAAGAUUGUUUCACGGCAAUUUCUUUCUCUGCUAUAAUCUCUUGUAUUCAAAGUUUGAUUGAGCAAUAAGAUCAUCAUUUUCUUGUCCCGUGGAUGUAGGCAUAGUUUGCCGAACCACGUAAACUUUCUCGUGUUGAUUUCUUUCUUGUUUUUAUUUUAUCUUCGUCGAUUUACCCAACAGAAGCCUCUUUGUGUAUGUUCUUUACGGAUUUGUGCUUUUGUUCUUGAAAUCAGCAAUAAUUUUGCUUCUCUCUAGACUAGAAGUUCAUUACAAAUUUUUUAAAACUAGAAUUUACAAUCAGACCGUGAAUUACGUACGAGGAUAAAAUAGUUAGUAAAAUUAUUUUUAUAUGAAUAAUAUUUUUUAUUUUUAUUAUUUUAAUUUGAAUAUUUUAAAAGUACACUCUUUUCAUUUUAGUGGAAGGAGGUUAUUGUUACCUCAAACUUUAUUUACAGAUUACAAAGCCAGAUUCAAAACGAUUGAAUAUUAGCCAAAUGAUUGGGAUAUAUAUAUAUAGGAAUUGGUUCAAUUGAGAUUUAUAUAUUAUUUUGAGUAUUUUGAGAUAAAUGAACAUAUAAGUACUAUUUUGAUGAACUUGUCUAAUUAAUUUUUAUGUAACGCGNAUCAGAUUCAAAGUUCUCUCUUUGGUGUUUUUUGGGCAAAAGAGAGAGCAGAGCAUCGGAGAGAACCGUAGUCGAUGUAAGAGACGCUUUCAAUAUGUUCAAAAUCUGCACCAAUUAACAAAUUUUAUCUAAACACAAUAACCACUUUCAAAAUUUUAUUACCUCUUUCAAUCUCAUUUUCAGCUCCACUUCUUCCACAUCAGAUAUCAGGAUUCUCCGCUGUCUAAAACUGGAAAGGAGCGCGACAAAACAAUAGGGUUCGACACUUAAAUGAUCCUUAACUACGUACGACCGUGGUCCGUGGAGAUAAAGUCCCUUGCCUUUCGGAGACACGAGGUUUCUGGACACACUCCCAUGAGGCAGUGUAGGUAACUCGAGCCUAUUCUUAACACUUGCGCUCUUGAAAUGCUCGUCGCCUAUAAGAUCGACAGUGCUCCGGUGCAAGGGGAAGUCAAGAAGCUUAACAAAAUGUCAGCAAAAUGGUUAUCUGCUUCUGCAAAGAGUACUUUACUCUCUUUAUUAAUCAUCACACUCCUCCUUAUCGUCAGACAUUCUGCUACUAAAAGAAGUGUGCAAGGGAUGAAAUUUUAGACUAAUAAUAUCAAGAUCUUCCUCCCUUUUAUGGGAGAAAGAGAAAUCAACCAAGAGGCAAUAGUCAAGAUCCACCGGUUCAAUUCCUAUUCUACUUUGUGAAUUUAUAAAUAAAAAUAAAAAUUUAAUAAAAUUCAAAGGUGGCAUUAAAGGUGAGAGUAAAAAGUAGUUAGUAUGUUUUUCCCAUUAUAAAUUUGUUACGUGUGAUUAUCUUCAAACCUUUUUGAAGUUGCAGCAUAUUACUACUUAAUUACUAGUAUUUCAAAUUUUGGGUUUUUGAAAAUUGUUGCGACCAUUAACUCUGGGUUUAUUAAUUUGCUGCUCGUAAAAAGGGGAGAAUGCAGAAGGCCGUCUUGGAAAUUAGAGAGACUAAUAACUCUUCGUUAACUUAAUUAUUCUCCAUUAAAAAGGGAGUGAAUGUAAAUCNUAUAUAUAUAUAUAUAUAUAUAUUAGCCAAAACGUUUGAUCAGAUAAGAAGGGCAAGCCAGAUUCAAAACGAGCAAAACAAAUCUACAGCAAGUUUGCUUAGAAAAAGUAAAAUCCAAACUGAAGCAAUUAAUUAAGCCAACAAAAUUAAGGUGCAGAAAAACAAUAUUGGGCACAAUGGAUCAGAUUCAAAGUUCUCUCUUUGGUUGUUUUUUGGGCAAAAGAGAGAGCAGAGCAUCGGAGAGAACCGUAGUCGAUGUAAGAGACGCUUUCAAUAUGUUCAAAAUCUGCACCAAUUAACAAAUUUUAUCUAAACACAAUAACCACUUUCAAAAUUUUAUUACCUCUUUCAAUCUCAUUUUCAGCUCCACUUCUUCCACAUCAGAUAUCAGGAUUCUCCGCUGUCUAAAACUGGAAAGGAGCGCGACAAAACAAUAGGGUUCGACACUUAAAUCAUCCUUAACUACGUAGGACCGUGGUCCGUGGAGAUAAAGUCCCUUGCCUUUCAGAUACAAGAGGUUUCUGGACACACUCCCAUGAGGCAGUGUAGGUACCUUGAGCCUAUUCUUAACACUUGCGCUCUUGAAAUGCUCGUCGCCUAUAAGAUCGACAGUGCUCCGGUGCAAGUUAUUUAUAGCCUUAAAACGCGUAUCGUCGGCCAGAAGGUGCUCAACUCUUCCAAGUGGGAUGCUGAGGAGAUCAAAUAGAAACUCUACAAAUAUUUCGUCAGUUUGAGCACACAACAACUUGCCUGUAGAUUUUUGUAUCAUCACUUUCAAUGGGAUAUGCCCUGUUUUGCAAUUGUCUUCCUUCUGUGGAGAUCCCACAACUGGUGUGUUGUUCACCUGUGCUGUAGUUUUAUUGAGGAUGAUGUCCGACAGCGGAGUUGGGGACGUCAAGGAUGCCUUCAACAACUUCAUAAUCUAACAACAAUAAAAACAGAAUUAAAACAAAUAAUUUAGAGGGUGUUUAGCUAAGCUUAUAAGCUAUUCAAAACAACUUAUAAACUGUCCUUCAAAGUGUUUGAAAAAAUAAAUUCUUAUACAGCUUAUAGACUCUAAAAAAAAGCUUCAAUAAGCUUAUAACAGCAUCUUUAACGAGACUCGUGGAUUGGGCGAGCGUGAGCCACCUGUCAUUGCCGUGCUGAGGGAGCGAAGCGAGCUCGCAUGUGCGCGCCCGGUGCGGAGAUAAGAGCAAAAGUCGCGUGAGGGCAACGCUCACACUGUGUCUAUUUUUAAUUAGUUAAUUACUACUAUGUUUAUGGGUAAAUUGCCGCGCAAAAUACAUAAAGUUUAGACGGAUUUUGAUUUUGCUCGCAAUCUUUAAAAUUUGAAAUAAAAUACACCAAAUUUUAUUUUUUUUUCUGAAAAAUAGGCUUUGAUAUAGAUAGAAUUACCCGUGUAAGAGAUGUUUAAUUCGAGCUUCUUUUAGUCUUUAUGAAGGAUUUAAUUGGACUCUCAGGAAACUAGAUUUUGGUUUUGAAUAAUGACAGAAUUUGACGAAAAAAUGGGUUUUUUUGGGUCCAUGAAUAAAUAAUUUUAAAGACCAUUUGGCAGGGGAUUCGAACUUAACAAAUAUAUACAAAAUAGAAUUAAUUUAAAAUUUUCGAUUUAAAAAAAAUAAAAAAAAAAUAGCUAGUUUUAAAAUUUUGUUCACAUUGUAGCUGUCUUUAUUUUUAAUUAACUAAAUUAAUCCUUUUUUAUUUUGAGCCAAAAUUUUUAAAUUAAUCGAUUUUUAUAUAUUUGACCAUUUUAUAUAUGAACAUAUUAUGUCCAAAUAGCAAUCUUGAUACCUUUAACCUCAAACAUUAAUUAUAUUCUACUAUUAGAUCAAUACACAUAUAAACUAAUUAGUGCAGUGACGACUUCUGUAUCAAAUUCAAGUUUAAAUAUUUUCGUUAUUAGACCUCACCUUUAUGUUUAUUUUCUGUUGAGGUAUAUAUCAUGUAUAUUAUGGAAUUAUUUUUUAGCUCAAGAUUUUUUUUGAGGAGGAGAUUGGAAUAUUUUACAAGACCGUGUCACGGUGUACUCGAACUUGAGCCUAAAUGCCUCAAACGUUAACUACUUUACCGCUAAAUCAGCACACGCAUGCAAGAAAUUUUAUUGUAUUCUUAUUGAUGCAGCAUACAUAUAUGAACAUCUUUUCGGCAUAGUGAAGAUCUACCUUUACUUACAUAAUAAUUGAAGUUUUCAGAUUUAGUGAGACAAUGUACUUGUUCUUGAUCUAAAUAUCGUCAAUCGGAAUUUUCUUGAUUUGUAGGACCUCGAGAAUGGAUGAUGCUAAAGAUGCAGAGUUCUCAUUGAAAGUGAUGAUAAAUAAAAAGAAAACUAAGGUACUCUUUGUAGAAGCUGACAGCCAUUUCGCAGACAUUUUGUUAAGCUUCUUGACUUUGCCGUUGGGAAGAAUUAUCAAAGUCCUUGAGAAGCACUAUGGAGACGAGGCACCUACCAUUGGUAGCUUAAGCAGUUUGUACCAUAGCUUAGUGGAUCUUGAUAUCACCUGUUUCUGGACAGAGGGUGCCAAGCAGACUCUGCUCAAUCCUGCAAGUUCAUUCAAUGAUGAAAACGCAAGGCUGAAACUCAAUUACAACGAUUAUCACCCCGCUAAAUAUUUCACGUGUACAAAUCCCCCUCCUCAUAGACGUAUCCGUAGUGUAAGCAUGUACCAUGAUAGUGCCCCUAUGUGCCUACGAUGCAGAUAUAGACAUGAGAUGAUAAUAGAGCAAGAUGAAAAAGAGUGUCAAUUUGCUUCUGAAGAUGGAGUUUUCACCAUAAAUACAACACCUUUCAUAAUUUCUGAUGAUCUGCAGAUAUUUCCAAAUAAGAUAGGACUCUUAGGAAUCAUCAGCAUUCUUGGCCUUACAGAUGCGGAUAAGGCUCAGCCAAUCAAAGUGACUUUUGGAUUCAGUGAGGUGAAACAUCAACAUUUUUAAUUUUUUCUUUACAAUUUUUGUUUUCACUUAUUCCUCCUCUAUUGUUAGAUUAUGAGUUUGUUGAAGGCGUCAUUGAUCUCCCAAACUCCAUUCUCGGACCUCUUACUGAGUAAAGCAAGACAUGUGAACUCUGUAGCUGUGGGAUCUGAACCCGAGACCUCAUUAAAUCAGAUCAAGAAUGAGGACAAUCCCGACUCCAAGAAGAUAGUUUUGAAAGUCAUGGUACAAAAGUCUUGUGGUAAGUUAUUGUAUGCUCAAGCUGAGGAAGAUUUUGUCGAGUUUCUGUUUAGUUUGUUCAAUAUCCCACUGGGAGGAGCUGAGCACCUUUUGGCCGGCAAGACUUGUAUUAAGGCUAUAGACAACUUGUACCGGAGCACAGCUGUGGUUAUCGAUGACAAGUAUUUCAAGACACCAGAUACGAGAAAUAGGCUAACCAAACCCAAUGUGGUUCAUGGUUGUAUUUCCGAUGACAACAUUCUUCUCCUCACUGAAGAGUGCUUACCUGAUAACUAUAGUGAUAUCUCAUGGUCUUCUUCUGCUAAGUUUCCUAAUGGCAAGGGGAGUUAUCUUAAAACACCGCAAACUUAUCAUGUGACAGACGAUUUAACUGUGACACCUUUAUCUAUUGUCUCGAUCCUUUCUACCCUCAAUAAGCAGGAAAUCCCCAUAUCUGAUGUCAAAGAAGUGGAGCUGCAAAUCGGGCUGAAAGAGGUAAUGUACUAAUAUGAAAUCUUUUGAGUUAGAUGUUUUUCUGUAUAUGUUUAGAUGUUGAGACAAAGUUUGUUGGUGCAGGGUUUGAACAUACUGAAAGCCUCUCUUACAUCCACUACUGCUCUCACUGAUGCUCUGCUCGAUCAAAUAUCGAUCAAACAACCGAAGCAAGAACUCUUAGUUUGAUCACAAGAUUUCAAUCAUUUUACCGCCUAUGUAAGUAAUCUUGUUUGCUUGUAUUUAUAGCUGCAGUUCUUGAUUUAGGACAGGGAAAUCUCUUCACUAUCUGAACUUAAAUCAUUUUAUUGAGGGUUCUGUUUUUUCUGAUAUAUUUUAUCUACUUGUAUUGUGAUCAUUCCAGUCUUGAGCAAAAAAUGGAGAGCAAUUGGUUGCAGCUACAUUUGCACAUUACAAACUAAAACAAGAUACAAUCAAAUAAAACACAAGAUCAUCAAUUUUAGAGGUGAAUAAUCAAGUAACUUGAAGAACAAAAACAUCAAAAUGACUAGAAAAUAAAGCACCGUAGCUAUCAAUUACAAGUUCAAACUAUUUACAUAUAGGAGCAGAACUCAUAGUCCUCGGCUCAUGAGAAUCAAGAACUACACUUGCUUUAUUUAGUAUGAGGUUUGACAAUGGAGUUGGGGAAGUGAAGGAAUCCUUCUGCAAACUCAACAUCUAAUCACAAUAUGUAAGUACAAUUUGUAAGCAAAAAAAAACAGAAAAAAAAGGAAUGAAACUGUAGAUAGAAUCACAUAGAAUCAAGAAUCACCUCAUUCAACCCAAUCGUCACUUUCAUCGCCUCAGCCUCAACCUCAACCUCAACCACAUCCGCAUCUGUAAUAUCUGCAGAUCAUCAGAGAUUAUGAAAGAGGGUGCUCUGUAAAUGAUGAAAUCUCCAUCUUUCUAAGCAGCUUGAGAAACUUUUCCAGCUACUUCUUUCUUCAUAAAAUGUCUUCUGCAUUUCUUGCAACGACCGGCAAGAUCAUAGUGCAUGCUUACAUUGAAGUGUAUUGUUACAUUGUUGAAUAUUGUUUAAGAAUAUUUUAUAUUUCCUUUAGAUUUUAAAAUUGAAUUUUUUGUUUUAAAUUGCAAAAUAUUUGCUAACAUACUGCAGACAGAGCAUCAAGGAAUUUAUUGGUUUGGUGAGUAAGAGAUGACUAUUUUUUUUUUUUUUGUAAAAUUUACUUUUGACGGUAUAAAAUUCGAUAUUAUGCUUAAUCAUGCACAAAUAAACUCGAAACAAACGAGAUAGUAUUUGCAUAUAGAAAAAAGAUUCAAACAAAUGGAAAAUCAAGAUACAUAACUUAAAAUAACAAUGAAGCACAAUAACUAUUAAUAUAACAUAUAAGCCAAUAUCACACUUCUCUCUUUGGCUGUUUAAUUGAUUUGCCACUCAGAAGAGCAUCAGUGAGAGCAGUAGUAGAAGUAAGAGAGGCUUCCAGUAUGCUGCAAGCCUGCACCAACAAAAUUUGUUUCAACAUCUAAACAUACAGAAAUAUAGCAUCCAAGAUUUUAAAUGAAAGUUUACCUCUUUCAGCCCUAUUUGCAUCUCCACUUCUUUGACAUCAGAUAUCGAGAUUUUCUGCUCUUUAAGAGAGGAAAGUGUCGAGGCAAUGCAAAAAGGGGUAACGGUUAAAUCAUCCGCAACAUGAUAAGUUGGGGAUCCUUUAAGAUAACUUCCCUUCCCAUUGGGAAACUUAACACUAGAAAACUGGCUUCUAUCAUUGUAAUCAGCAGGCAAUCUUUCUUCAAUGAGAGGGAAAAUGCAGCCUUCCGAAAUAUAGCCAUGAGGAAGCUUGGGUUUCAUUAGCUUCAUUUUUGUAUCCGGGGUAAUGAAAUGCCUGCUAUCUAUAAGGUCGGAUGUGCUCUGGUACAAGUUGUCUAUAGCCUUAACACAAGUGUUACCGGCAAGAAGAUGCUCAACUCCUCCCAAUGGGAUGUAGAGGAAACUAAAGAGAAACUCCACAAACUGUUUCUUAGCUUGAGCAUACAAAAACUUACCAGUAGAUUGUUGUAUCAUCACUUUCAAACUUAAAUUCCCAGAGUUAUUGGGAUUCUCUUCGUUUCCAGUGUGAGGUUGAGACACCAUAUAGUAAAUCUGAGUUGUUUUACUUAGGAUGAUGUCCGAUAAUGGAGUUGGGGACGUCAAGGAUGCCUUCAACAAAUUCAUAAUCUAACAGAAAUAGGGAUAACAACUAAGGUAAUUAAAGAAAAAUAAGGGAGGAAGAUUGAGAUUAUGGAAACAAGAAUAACCUCACUGAAGCCCAAAUCCACCUUGAUUUGCUCGGCGUUAUCCAUGUCUGUAAUGCCAAGAAAGCUAAUGGUUCCUAAGAGUCCUGUCUCAUUUGGAAAUAUGUGGAGAUCAUCAGAGAUUAUGAAAGAUGAUGUAUUCAUGGUGAAAACUCCAUCUCUAGAUGCAGCAGCUUCAGAUCCUUUGUUAACUACUUCUAUUUUCAUAACACCUUCACAUGGGUAAGAUUUGCAUUCCUUAACAUGAUCAUAGUAGAUGCUUACGCUACGAAAUCUAUAAGACUGAUAGUGAUAGAUACAAUAGAAAUAUUCAGCAGGCUGAAAAUCAGUGAUGUCGAGUUUCAGCCCUAUGUAUUCAGCUUCGGAUGAACUUGUUGGAUCGAGCAGAGUCUUCUUAGCCCCAUCAGACCAGAAAUGGGCACUGUCGAGAUUUACUAAGCUACGGUACAAACUGCUUAAGCUUCCAAUGGUAGGCGCCUCGUCGUCUCCAUAGUGCUUCUUGAGGACUUUCACAAUUCUUCCCAACGGCAAACUCAAGAAGCUUAACAAAAUGUCUGCAAAAUGGCUGUCAGCUUCUGCGAAAAAUACCUUAGUUCUCUCUUUAUUGAUCAUCACUUUCAAUGAGAACUCUGCAUCUUUAGCAUCAUCCAUUCUCGAGGUCCUACAAAUCAAGAAAAUUCCGAUUGACGAUAUUUAGAUCAAGCACAAGUACAUUGUCUCACUAAAUCUGAAAACUUCAAUUAUUAUGCAAGUAAAGGUAGAUCUUCACUAUGCCGAAAAGAUGUUCAUAUAUGUCUGUUGCAUCAAUAAGAAUACAAUAAAAUUUCUUGCAUGCGUGUGCUGAUUUAGCGGUAAAGUAGUUAACGUUUGAGGCAUUUAGGCUCAAGUUCGAGUACACCGUGACACGGUCUUGUAAAAUAUUCCAAUCUCCUCCCCAAAAAAAAUCUUGAGCUAAAAAAUAAUUCCAUAAUAUACAUGAUAUACCUCAACAGAAAAUAAACAUAAAGGUGAGGUCUAAUAACUAAAAUAUUUAAACUUGAAUUUGAUACAGAAGUCGUCACUGCACUAAUUAGUUUAUAUGUGUAUUGAUCUAAUAGUAGAAUAUAAUUAAUGUUUGAGGUUAAAGGUAUCAAGAUUGCUAUUUGGACAUAAUAUGUUCAUAUAUAAAAUGGUCAAAUAUAUAAAACUAGUAAGGCGCCCGUCGAAAUUCGACGGGUAUAUUUUAUUAUAAUAUAAUAUAAUAUAAUUAUUUAAUAUAAUUUUUUGUUCAUAAAUUUCAUUUCAAUAAAAUAAAGUAUUGAAUAAAAUAAUUUUAAAAUAAAAAAUAAAUUUUCUGGAUUAGAUGCAUUAAUAUUCAUUAUGUCAGAGUAUAUGUUUUCCACUAUAAUUACAAUAGGAUUUGUUGCAUCCCGUAUAAGAAUAUCUUCUGACAAUGUCACAUUAAAUUCUUCAUCACUAAUACUUUAAAAAACAGCACUGUCACCUACUUUAAGUAUCCAUUCUAUGAAUUCUUUGUUUCUUCUGCAUUCAAACCAGAAACAUUUGUCUGAUUUAUUAUGAAAAAAAUUAUGUAUAAUAUCAAAGCAGUAUUUGUGCGUCAUUGACGCCUCAUCUCAAAUAAUAAGCUUUGUCUUUUCGAGAAACCCAGUUAAAUCGCUAUCUAAGCUAAUCUUGUUGCAUGUGAUGUUUUCGUGGCAGUCUAAUGAUACCCAAAAUAUAUAUAGAGUGUACUUCGUCAUAGCCUUUUUUUUAUUAUAAUUGUAGAUAAUCACUAUCUUAAUCAACUUCUGAAAGUUUUCAAAAAAAUAAUAAUUCAACUUCAGAAAGAUCUUCAUUGUGGAAAUUUUAGUUACACCCGAAAUAAAAUUUAAAUUGUGAGCAAAAUUUUAUAAAGUUAGCUUAGCUGAAUAUUAGUAUAUGAAUAUCAUCUGAGGGCAUUUCAUAGUUGGUAUUUCUAAUUAAAUCCUUGCAUUCGACUGCGAAGACUACUUUCUGUAGGUGCAUCUGUGCUAUUAUCUGAUGAGAAUAUUAGUAUAUGAAUAUUGUAACUCAUGAAUGUUAUACAUAAAAUUCAUGCAUUUUUGCUGGUUCGUAAUUAUUAAAAUAAGGGUGGUUUAUUCAAUAAACGCCACAUAUAUAUAUAAACUAUAGAUAUAAAAUAUUUGGAGAUAAUGUGUCAUUAUUGUAACAAUUGUUUUAGACUUAUUUUAUACUUUUAAAAGUGGAAUGUAAUUAUAUAAACGAUGCUUUCUUAUAUAUGAUAAUUUAGAUAUAGAUUUUGUAAAAAUCAGAAAUAAAUUCAAACAAUAUUAUAAAUAUAUAUCUAUGUCAAGAUCAAAUCGUAGAUAAUUUUAAAUAAUAUUGGUUAUAGCCUUAUAGGUAUCACGAUUGCCUAAUUGAUCGCUUAUUCAUAUCAUAAAUAUUUAUCUAUUUUCAUAAAUAGUGAUAACAAUAAUAUAUUAUUAUAUUUAUCAUAUCAUUAUAUAUAAAUAUAUAUAGAUUUUAUAAUUAGUAGAGUUUAAUUUGAGGUCGAAUUCUAGAUUAAAGAUUUAGAAGAAAAAUAAGAAUAAAUGAGAAUUGAGGAAAAUUAGAAUAAAGUGAUUAUACGCCGCCACGUAGGAUAUGAUUUAUUUUGCUUUUAUAUAUAUAUAGAAUCGAUUAAUUUAAAAAUUUUGGCUACAAAAAUAAAAAAGGAUUUAGUUAAAUUAAAAAUAAAGACAGCUACAAUGUGAACAAAAUUUUAAAACUAGCUUUAUUUUUUUUUAAAUCGAAAAUUUAAUAUUAAUUUUAUUUUGUAUAUAUUUGUUAAGUUCGAAUCCCCUGNAUAUAUACACAUAUAAACAUAUAAUUCAUUAUGGAAUUAUAAACGUGGGUUAUGCAAUUUUUCUUUUUAAACGUGGGGUGGUGUGCAUUUUUUAAAAAUUAUGGGUUAUGCAAUUUUAAUUGAGUUAGUUACUUAAUUUUUGAAUAUAUACAAUAAGUCAUUAUUUUUGUAAGAAAUCACAAAAUUGCCAUCUAAAUCAAUUUGAAAUCAAUUUCUAAUUGAAAACUGCUGUUUUAAUAUAGUAUAGAUGUUAAAUUUGAGUCAAUUCUAAAGGUAAAAGUAAAAUUACUAAUUACUAACAAUGAAAAUUAGUUUAUUUGUUUAGAAGAUGAAACAAUUUUUUUUUAAGAAAAAUGAAUAAAAGUACGUUUUUAUAUGCUUUCAAUCUACUUGAUGUUGAAUUAAUUGAAUUGCGAACAAUUAUCUUAUUAUAUUAAGUGAUUGUUGAAAAAAUGUAUGAAAUGAAGUGUACGGAAUGCUCAAAAAAUUUUGCUUCGGGGGCGCCGUAGUCCAAUAGAUUCAGCCCCCCCUAACAUUGAAUCCUGGAUCCGCCCCUGGACAUGAUCAUAGUAGAUGCUUAGGCUACGAAACCUAUUAGGCUGAGUGUGACGCCGAACGUAUGAAUAUUUACAAUAGAAACAUUCAGCAGGCUGAAAAUCAGUGAUGUCGAGUUUCAGCCUCCCGUAUUCAUCUUCGAAUGAACUUGUUGGAUCAAGCAGAGUCUGCUUAGCUCCAUCAGUCCAGAAAUAGGCACUGUCGAGAUUUGCUAAGCUACGGUACAAACUGCUUAAGCUACCAACGGAAGGCGGCUCGUCUCCAUAGUGGUGGUCGAGGAUUUUGACAAUUCUUCCCAACGGCAAAGUCAAGAAGCUUAACAAAAUGUCUGCAAAAUGGCUGUCGGAGUCUGCAAAGAAUACCUUAGUUCUCUCUUUAUUGAUCAUCACUUUCAACGAAAAUGUAGCACCCUUUUUAUCAUCAGCCAUUCUUGAAAUAUAUAUGUGGUACAAACAAAGAAAUAUUUGAAUAAUGUAAUCGGAAGACUUCAGCAAUCCCUGCAAUUUUAUGGGGGAAGAAGUUAACCAAGCGCCACUAGUCCCACCAAAUUCCAAGACCCAUCGGAUUGUAUUUUAUUAACUUCCCUAUUUUAUUUAAUCCAAAAAAAAUCGAUUUUAUUUAAGAUUGGAAAAGUGAGGUAGAAGUACCUCUUCCAACUAAAUUGCCGAUUUAGUGUCAAUGUAGAACACAUGCAGUUUAAAUUUAAAUAAGUUUCAUUUUAAAUAUAGGUUUAUAAAUUUGAUGCAUGCAUGUGAUCGACAGUUUCAUAUUUUUUUAAAUGAAACAAUUUCAUAAAUAUUAGGAGAUCAAAUGCAUCCCAUCUGGCUGCUCAAUUCCAAGUUAGUUACUGACGUUUAAUUUGAUUUUGUAUCUCAUAAAGAGAGUGAAUGCAGAGAGUCUUGGAAUUUGGUGGGACUAAUGACUCUUNUCAUUUUAGAUAUAGGUUUACAAAUUUGAUGCAUGCAUGUGAUAACAAUUUCAUAAUUUUUUUUUUGAAACAAUUUCAUAAAUAUUAGGAGAUCAAAUGCAUCCCAUAUGUAGCUGCUCAGUUCCAAGUUAGCUACUGACGUUUAAUUUGAUUCUGUAUCUCAUAAAGAGAGUGAAUGCAGAGAGUCUUGGAAUUUGGUGGGACUAUUAUGACUCUUAGGUUGACUUCUUCCCCAUAAAAAAGGGAGGGUUUGGUGAAAACCAUCGAUUACAUUAUUAUCUCAAGAAUGUCUGAAGUUGAGAAGGAUGUCAAGUUGUCAUUGAAAGUGAUGAUAAACAAAGAGAGAAAUGAGGUACUCUUUGCAGAAGCCGACAACCAUUUCACAGACAUUUUGCUAAGCUUCUUGAGUUUGCCGUUGGGAAGAAUUUUCAAAGUCUUCAAGAAGCACUAUGGCGAUGAGCUUUCUACCAUUGGAAGCUUAAGUAGUUUGUACCAUAGCUUAACAAAUCUUGAUAGCGCCCAUUUUGUGACGGAUGGUGCUAAGCAGACUCUGCUCAGUCCAGCCAGUUUAUUUGAAGAUGAAUACAAAAGGCUGAAACUCGAUAUCACUGAUUCUCCGCCUGCUGAAUAUUUCUAUUGUUCAGGCCGUGCCCCUCAUGGUAGAUUACAUAUUGUAAGCAUGUACUAUGACUCUGUUGAGCGUUGCAUACUUUGCCAUCGUACGAUGAAAAAAGCAGUAGCUAAGAAAGGGUCUGAAGCAGAUUCUUCUAGUGAUGGAGUGUUGACUAUACGUAAAGCAUCUUUCACAAUCUCUGAUGAUCUUCAUAUAUUUCCAAAUGAGAUUGGACUCCUACCAAUCAUCACCCUUCUCGGCAUUACAGAUGCGCAUAAGGCUGAGGAAAUCAAAGUGGAUCUUGGCUUCAAUGAGGUGAUUUCUUGAUUCUCUUUAAAUUAAAUCUCAAUCUUUGUUAUAACUAGUUAUAUAAUUAUUAAUUAAUUAAUUUGUGUAUGUAUUGUUGUUAGAUUAUGAAAUUGUUGAAGGCAUGCAUGACGUCCCCAACUCCAUUGUCGGACGUCAUCCUGAAUAAAACAACACACUUGAAGUCUGCAGAGGUUCCAUUGCACGAGAUGGUAGUAAAGGAAGAAAACACCAACACUAUGAGUUUGAAAGUUACCAUACAAAAAUCGACAGGUAAGUUGCUGUAUGCUCAAGCUAAAGAAGAUUUUAUCGAGUUUCUAUUUGGUUUCUUCAACAUCCCACUAGGAGGAGUUGGGCAUCUUCUGGCUGGCAAGACUCGUGUGAAGGCUAUAAACAACUUGUAUCUGAGCACAGAUGACCAUGUAAACGACGAGUAUUUCAAAACCUCGGUUAUGAAAAGAAGGCUAUUGGAACCCAAUGUGGUUCAUGGAUGCAUUUCUGAAAACAACAUUCUUCGCCUUACUGAAGAACCUUUGCCUGUUGACUACACACGCUAUAACGACUAUUUUUCUUCAGUGAAGUUUCCCAAAGGGAAAGGGAGGUGUCUUGAGCGACCAGCAACUUAUAAGGUGACAGAUGAUUUAACUGUGACCCCUUUUUGCACUGUCUCCAUUCUUUCCACUCUCAAUAGCUUGAAAAUCCCAAUAACUGAUGUCCAAGAAAUGGAGCUGCAAAUCGGAUUGAAAGAGGUAUAUAAUACAAUUUUAAAUAUGUGAUUAUGUUUUGUAGCAUGUGUUGAGAUGAAGUUUGUUGGUGCAGGGCUUGAGCAUACUGAAAGCUUCUCUUACAUCCACUUCUGCUCUCACAGAUUCUCUCCUCAGUCAUAAAUCGAGCAAGAAACCGAAGAAAGAACUCUCAGGCUGAUCCUUGGUUGCAACUAUUACAAAUAGUAUUAAUUAGCAACUAUGGUGCUUAUGUUUGUUUUUUGUUUCUGUAGAAAGCAUACUCUUGAAAGUUAUACAACUAAAAUCGAACUGUCAAAUGGAAUUUUUCCAAUUUAAAAUGUCGAAAAAUUCAUUGACAAUGCUACCUCGCUAACAAAAUCAGAGCAAUCCACAACUAAAAAUAACUACUGAAACUUGAAAUAGUUUACACUAUAAGAUUUUCUUUUUCAUUUCUUGGAAUCCCACACCAUGUCCUACUAUCAAAACUAUCUGACAUUUAAAAAAAAAUCAUGUUUAUAUUCCAAAAAUUAUUAUUUCUCACACCCGAAGAUGACGUGGCAUAUCUGAUGUGGCCUAAAUAUUUGAAAGCUAUAGUGAAUAAAGAGAAUCUUGAAGAAGCAAUAUCUGAUUUGAAUCUCUGAAUAUCUAGUUGUCAUGUUUUCUGGUUAUUAUCUAUUUUUUGCUAUUCUCGUUUUAUGUUUUGUGGUAUAUGCAUAUUAAGAGCAUCCCUUACAUCUGAUUAUGAUUCUGCUUGGCAUUAUCAUAAAAUAUGAUGCACAAAAAAUCUCUCUUUUGUAAGAUCAAUUUUCAUUUGAUUGGAUAUUUAGAGGGUGUUUGGCUAAGCUUAUUUUAAAGAGCUUAUAAGCUCUUGGAGCUUAUAAGAUGUUUCAAGAGCUUAUAAGAUGUAGUUUUCUAAGAACUUAUAAGUUGUCAAAGUGUUUGGAUAAUUGAGCUUAUAAGCUAGAGAGAGAAUUUUUUUCUAGAGAGAGAAAAUAUUUUUCUAGAGAGAGAAAAUCGAAGAGAAAUGAACUUAAAUGAUAUAUGAUGAAAAUAAUAAAUUAUAGUUGAAAAAUAUUUGUAAAAUAAUUAUUACAUAUGAGAUUAUAAAAAAAUAAGUUGGGGUAGAGGAACUUAUUUAUUUGGGAAGCUUAUAAGUUCUUGGAGCUUAUUUUUGGAACUUAUAAGUUAUUUAUGAGCUUAUUUUAUCAAAUACUUUGAAAGAGCUUAUAAGCUCCUAAACAGUUCAUAAGCUGUUUUGAAGAGCUUAUAGGCUAAGAGCUUAUAAGCUCAGCCAAACACCCUCUUAGUCUAGUUCUUGUAUUGUGAGCAUUCAGUAUGAAAUAGUGAUUAAAUUAUGAAAUUACAUUGUGAAACGAACAAUUUGAGCAUACAAAAAGUGAAAUAGUUUUAAAAUGAUGACUGGAAAAACAAGAACCAUAGUUAAAACAACAUAAAAGCACAAUGCAAAGCUAUGAAUUUAAGCCAACAAUGUCACAUUUAUGAGCAGCAAAACAAGAUCUAAAAGCAUGGAUCACACUCAGACUUCUCUCUUUGGUUGUUUGAUUGAUAUGUGACUCAAUAGAGCAUCAGAAAGAGCAGAAGUGGAUGUAAGAGAGGCUUUCAGUAUGCCCAAAGCCUGCACAAAAGAAAGCAAUCUCAACAUGUAAACAUAUGCUCAAAAAUAUAGUACCAACAGAUAUUUACCUCUUUCAACCCGAUUUCAAGCUCCACUUCUUUGACAUCAGAUAUCGAGAUUUUCUGCUCUUUGAGAGAGGAAAACAUGGAGACAAUACAUAAAGGUGUAACAGUUAAAUCAUCCGCCACGUGAUAAAUUUGAGGCCCCGUAAGAUAACUUCCCUUGCCAUUGGGAAACUUAAUAGAAGAAAACCAAUUUAUAUUAUCAAUGUAGACAGCAGGCAAGCAUUCUUCAGUGAGGGGGAAAAUGUAGUUUCCAGAAAUACAACCAUGAACCAGAUUGGGUUUCAUUAGCCUGUUUUUCGUAUCCGGGCUCUUGGGAUACUUGUCAAUAAGAUCAGCUGAGCUCCGAUACAAGUUGUCUAUAGCCUUAAUACAAGUCUUGCCGGCCACAACGUGCUCAGCUCCACCUAGUGGAAUAUGAAGGAGACCAAAUAGAAACUCUAUAAACUCUUCCUUAGCUUGAGCAUACAAAAACUUACCACUAGAUUUCUGUAUCAUCACUUUCAAACUUAACUUCUUAAAGUUGGGAUUUUCUUCCAUUGCAACAUUCUGCAGUAGUGGUGGAGAUUCCAAGAUUGAAGUGUUGAUCUGUCUUGUUUUUUUUAGGAUGACAUCCGACAGUGGAGUUGGGGACGUCAAGGAUGUCAUCAACAAGUUCAUAAUCUAACAAAAAUACACACAAAAUCAAACAAGUAAUAAGAAAAGAAGCUGUGAGAAAGAUAGAGAAUCAAGAAUCACCUCAUUGAACCCUAAAUCCACAUUGAUGAGCUCAGCCUUAUCCAUGUCUGUAAUACCAAGAGAGACGACGAUACCUACAAUCCCCGUCUCGUUUGGCAGUAUCUGCAGAUCAUCAGAGAUUAUGAAUGAUGCUUUAUGUAUGGUGAAAACUCCAUCUCUAGAAGCAGCUUUAGGCCCUUUUUCAUCUAGUACUACUUUCUCCAACUUACGAUAACAGUUCCAAAUAGGGCAAACUGUAAUAGUAUCAUAGUAAAUGCUCACACUACGAAAUCUUUUAGAGUGAACGCUACAAGAAAAAUAUUGAGCAGGUUGAAAAUCAGUGAUAUCGAGUUUCAGCCCCGCGUACUUGUCUUCGAAUGAACUAGUUGGAUUGAGCAGAGCCUGCUUAGCACCCUCAGUCACAAAAUGGGAGCCAACUUCAAGAUUUGCUACGCUUCGGUACAAAUUGCUUAAGCUUCCAAUGGUGGGUGCCUCAACUGAUCCAUAGUGCUUCUCGAGGACUUUCACAAUUCUUCCCAACGGCAAAGUCAAGAAGCUCAACAAAAUGUCUACAAAAUGGCUGUCAGCUUGUGCAAAGAGUACCCUAGUUUUCUCUUUAUUUAUCAUCACUUUCAAUGAGAACUCUGCAUCUUUAGCAUCAUCCAUUCUCGAGGUCCUACAAAUCAAGAAAAUUCCGAUUGACGAUAUUUAGAUCAAGCACAAGUACAUUGUCUCACUAAAUCUGAAAACUUCAAUUAUUAUGCAAGUAAAGGUAGAUCUUCACUAUGCCGAAAAGAUGUUCAUAUAUGUCUGCUGCAUCAAUAAGACUACAAUAAAAUUUCUUGCAUGCGUGUGCUGAUUUAGCGGUAAAGUAGUUAACGUUUGAGGCAUUUAGGCUCAAGUUCGAGUACACCGUGACACGGUCUUGUAAAAUAUUCCAAUCUCCUCCUCAAAAAAAAUCUUGAGCUAAAAAAUAAUUCCAUAAUAUACAUGAUAUACCUCAACAGAAAAUAAACAUAAAGGUGAGGUCUAAUAACUAAAAUAUUUAAACUUGAAUUUGAUACAGAAGUCGUCACUGCACUAAUUAGUUUAUAUGUGUAUUGAUCUAAUAGUAGAAUAUAAUUAAUGUUUGAGGUUAAAGGUAUCAAGAUUGCUAUUUGGACAUAAUAUGUUCAUAUAUAAAAUGGUCAAAUAUAUAAAAAUCGAUCAAUUUAAAAAUUUUGGCUCAAAAUAAAAAAGGAUUAAUUUAGUUAAUUAAAAAUAAAGACAGCUACAAUGUGAACAAAAUUUUAAAACUAGCUAAUUUUUUUUUUUAUUUUUUUAAAUCGAAAAUUUUAAAUUAAUUCUAUUUUGUAUAUAUUUGUUAAGUUCGAAUCCCCUGCCAAAUGAUCUUUAAAAUUAUUUAUUCAUGGACCCAAAAAAACCCAUUUUUUCGUCAAAUUCUGUCAUUAUUCAAAACCAAAAUCUAGUUUCCUGAGAGUCCAAUUAAAUCCUUCAUAAAGACUAAAAGAAGCUCGAAUUAAACAUCUCUUACUCGGGUAAUUCUAUCUAUAUCAAAGCCUAUUUUUCAGAAAAAAUUAAAAUUUAGUGUAUUUUAUUUCAAAUUUUAAAGAUUGCGAGCAAAAUCAAAAUCCGUCUAAAUUUUAUGUAUUUUGCGGCAAUUUACGCAUAAACAUAGUAGUAAUUAACUAAUUAAUAAUCAAUUAAAAAUAGGCACAGUGUGAACAAGAGAUGAAUAAGUCAAGAAUUACCUGAUUUCCAAUCUAUAAAAUUGGGGAUUUUCAGAGAAAAAGACAGAUUUUCAAGUCAACCCAGAAGAAAACAUGUUGUUGGAUGAGGGUGGCUGAGCUCGCGGCGGAGGAAGGGUGGCUGCGACGGUGGUUUUGAGCGGCUAAAAGUGAAGAGAGGAGUGGAUAGAUGAGUGAGAGAGAAGCACUGGCAUUAUUUGGCUACUAAAGCAAAAUGGAGCGCAAACAGUUGAGCUAUGCCAUUGGCGAAUCUUUGCUUUUUCACUUUUUUUUUAACUUCUUUUUCUGUUUUUCAACUUUUUCUUUUCCAUGUUUUUGGUUUGUCGGUUUCACAAAAAGUACUAUUGCAUGACUUUAUUUGACGCAAUUGUAAUUUAAUAUGUUUGAACAAAAAAGUACUAGUUAAAUACUUUAACAAAUAUAUUUAUUUAAAACUUUUGAUUAAAAAAAUAGUUAUUUUUAUUAUUUUCUCCAUAUUUUA
rnacentral:lncRNA from 1 species